UACGGGGGGGGCAAGCGUUGUUCGGAAUUACUGGGCGUAAAGGGCUCGUAGGCGGUUUUCUAAGUUUGGUGUGAAAUCUCCCGGCUUAACUGGGAGGGUGCGCCGAAGACUGGAAGGCUUGAGUAUGGGAGAGGUAAGCGGAAUUCCUGGUGUAGCGGUGAAAUGCGUAGAUAUCAGGAGGAACACCUGCGGUGUAGACGGCUUACUGGACCAUAACUGACGCUGAGGCACGAAAGCGUGGGUAGCAAGCAGG
rnacentral:rRNA from 1 species